rnacentral:lncRNA from 1 species
CACCGAAAAACGAAGUUUCGUACGAAAUUUCGCGAACUUCUUACCACGGUUCCAUUUCGUUCCGAAAUUUCGUACGAACGAAGAUUGUUUGACGUUUAUUGUCUAUAAACCUACUCUAAUUCGAAAUGCUACGAACGAAUAUUUGAGUUUGACAGACGAAACUUCGGAAUUUUAACCUCAAAUUCAACGAAACCAAAAGAGUUAUCGUUUGAUUUUCGUGUUACUUUUCGUUUUGUGAAUUUUGUGUGAAAAUUAUUGGCAAAGGCUACAAUAAUGCUUUUAAUCAAAGCAGCUUUACGUGAAGAUCAUGUAGAGCGAAGAAGGAACCGGCAGUGCUUGCGCAAUCAAUUAAAUAUUAGCGAAAUUCCCGACGUAGAGUUUGUAGGAAAUCACAGACUCAGUCGGCAAUUUUUCGAAGGGUUGUGCCAGGAAUUCGUGCCUUUAUUACCUCCAAACAAUGCACAUUGCAAUUGCUAGACCUUCUGGAAUCGAAAAUAUUUCCAUUCUCUUAACACCCAAGUUAUAUUAUGUGACAGCGAUACUAUAUAACAAAUGUGGAUGUGUCAUUUGGUGGAGCAACACACAUGAUGCUUAUAUUUGGAGAGAGUAUGAUAUUAGAAGCCACUUGGAGGGUCUCCAGAAUGAAACAGUUUAUCUGUUAGGUGACUCUGGGUAUUCUCUCUAAGGGAGCAUAUGAUGACACCGAUAGAUAAAGCUGUUGAAGAUUCUCUUGAAGGCAGAUACAACUUUGCAGAGCUUUGUUAGUGCAAAUUUUGGAAAGGAAUAGGUAGGACAAAGUUCUACUCAAGCACAUCAUAACAUGCUCCAGAAAAUAUGUAUGUUUAUUGAUUUUAAGUAUUUGACAUGAUGUUAUUUAUUUCCUGUAGAGUUUAAUAAAAGAAUAAAUUAUA